ACCAGAACGUAGAAGACUAGGAGGAGUCCUACUGUAGGCAAUGCUGGGAUUUCCUUAGUUUGAAUUCCAUCCCAUGUGUUUGUUUCUUUCUUCCUAUGUGGGAACUGACAGCGCAUCUAACUGUGUCUGCUGCCUCCUUGGACCCUUGGACCCUUGGACCCUUGGACCCUUGGACCUUUGGACCCUUGGACAGGAGGAAAGUCUCUUUAAUGUGUGUCAUCACUGCCUGCACAGACCACCAGCUCGUCAGUCCCUUUCCCCUUUCUUUUCUCUCUCCUUCCUUUUUUCCCCCUAGUCUUCUGUCUUUCCUGCCUGCCCACCUUCCCUCCCUCCUCCAUCUCCUUUCUCUCUUUAUUUCCCUUCCCUUCCCUUCCCUUCCCUUCCCUUCCCUUCCCUUCCCUUCCCUUCCCUUCCCUUCCCUUCCCUUCCCUCCUUCUUUGUUCUGUUUAGAAUAACAGUAAUAACCCACAGCUCAAAGAAAUAAGAAUAACGUUAUGUUUUCAAACUAACAAACAUUAAGAAAAAUCUCCCCUGGUUUUCUCAUUUUUUUUAAUUGUAAAAAUCACUGAUUUUGUUAGAAAAAUGAAGUCUGAACCUUGUCUAAGUCAGCUGAAGCAGGAAUGGUAAUUGGGCCGAUGUGUUUCCUCUUUUGCUGCGCAGUUUAGAAAUGAUCUCGUGAGUCUACACGCAGUAGUACAGGAGAAGAGAGGGCACAGGCCGAGGGAAGGGGUGGGGGAGCCAUUGUAGAACUGACUGAGAUCCGAGAUCCGGGUGGCUGGUGGCUGGCUACUGUAGGUCCCUGUAAAGCUUUGCCCUGGGCCUUGCAGCCGAAUCUGAGCAGUGUUGUAAUGCUAAUAACAGCUAGCAUUUGUUAAGCUCUUGCUAUGGGCUACGCACAUUUAAUAAGCCUUUCCAUUUAAUUUUCUGCCGAGUGAAAGACCCACCCUGGGGAACCCCGGCAAUCUGGAUGGGGGCCUAGCCCACCUGUGCCUUGCAGCCCUUCCCUGAUCUCCUGGCCAGCCUCCGAGUCCCUCCUCUGCCCAGACCUCCUUGUCAUGAAGCCCACGUGGUUAUAUCUGCUUCUCCAUCGUGGACUCUGGUCCUCCUGCUCUCUAUCUCAUGGCUGCUGUCUUGGGGCAGGGCUGCCUCGGACCCAUGUGAUAGUAGCGACCCCCUGUUGUUCAACUGUGGAACUUUUUCUCUAGUUCCACAGCUCUGCUGAGCGCCACCUCCUCCUGCAUAUGGGUUUGAACACCAACAACUUGAAGAAUACAACAAUAAACACUUUUUUAUAGAUGCA
rnacentral:lncRNA from 1 species